GCCUUCGUGGUGUAGUGGUCAGCACGCUCGGCUGUUAUUCCAGAGGUUCGUGGUUCGAACCCCGGUGAGGGCA
rnacentral:tRNA from 1 species